GAUCCACCUGCCUCUGCUUCCGGAGUGCUGGGAUUAAAGGCAUGCACCACCAGCGCCCAGCUUGAUUGUUUCUAGUUUAAAUUUAAAAAAAGAAAGAAAACUGUAUUUUAUUGGUGAUGAGGUGGUCGAGUGGUUAAGGUGAUGGACUACUAAAAUGGAUUUUAUUAUUUAAUGUGCAUGAGUAUUUUGCCUGUGAGUACGUCUAUGCAUAAUGUAUGUUCUUGGCACAUAGGAAGGCCAGAAGAGGCUUAUUCCACCAUAUGGCUUCCAGAAAUCUGAGGUCAUCAGGCUUAGCAGCAAGCACCUUUACCCACUGAGCCAUCUUACCUGUCCUAUUUUAUUUCAUUUCAGCAUUGACAGUGGAACUCAGGGCCCUGUGCAUGCUAGGCAAGUGCUUUAUCACAAGAUAUAUGGCGCCUUAUCUAUUUUAAAAUCCUAUUGAAAUGAGUAUGUCUCCUUCGCUUUUGACACCACACGGUGACAUUUCAUAUUGGGUAUUCCUUUUAGUUAGUGUAAACAUUAAGUCCCAGUUGUAUAGUUAUAGAUGAAGGAAAACAUGUUCAGACUGAAGCUUCCCUUCCACAUUUUAUAUUGUGUAAACACUAGGAAUUAAUCCAUUUCUGCUGCCCACCACCAUAUGUUUUCCUCGUCACUUACGGUCUUUCCUGGAAUUCUGUGCACAUCAGAGUAUAAGUCAUACAAGAACUAGAGGUGAGAGCACUGGCUUGAGUCCCAGUUUACCAAGCACAUGCUGCUGAAAGCACAACAGUGGGCAGAGGACUGUGACAGCUCGCUCUCUGAAGUCGGUGUGUAUGGAAAUGUCUAGACUAAUUCUGUUGUUGAUGUCUCUCCUUGAUGUGUUGAGUCAUAAAGAUUAUAGUUGAAAUUGGAAUCAUUGCUUCUGGAUUUAAAAACAACUACUCGGGAAGCUGUUGAACUCGGUGAGUUUGAGAACAGCCUGGUCUACAGAGUGAGUUCCAGGACAGCCGGGGCUACACAGCGAAACCCUGUUUUGAAGAGAAAAAAAGAUUAGAGUGAGUCAUCCAUCUGCGUCUCCAGCCACUUCUCCAUGGCUUUGACAGGAUCCCAGAACCGAAACAGCAGAGUCACCAUGGACACAAAUGACUGAUGAUCCAAAUGCAAGCCCAGGAGCCUGAAAUCAUUUCUCUUUGAAACUGCAGAGAAAGAGGCCAAGGCUAGAAAGGAAGAUCAGGAAUAGGCAGCAAGCCACAUCCGAGAUGGUGUGGAAGACACUGCUGGAAAAUGCUAACUGCAAGUGAAGGAGGCAAACUGUGUGACAUUUGAGAAGGAAGUCUGUUAUACAUCAAACACUAUUUUGAGGACAUCACUGAGCUCUGGAAAUUGGAUCAUUUCUUUAUUUCUAAUGCUGGCAUCUAGUAAUACCCCAAAGUGAAAAUCAUUUGGGAGGCUACAUUCGCAAUAUGAUGAAUAAAUAUAUAACUACUGACUAAAGUUGUGCUCCAGGACUGCUGAUAUAGCUCACUGGUAGAGUACUUGCC